CAUGAAGUUCAACGAAGGGAAGUGCAGAGUCCUCCACCUAAGGAGGAAUAACCCCAUGCAUCAGGACAGGCUGGGGUCUGAGCUAAUGGAGAGGAGCUCUGCAGAGAAGAGCAUACUUAGUCUAUUAGUAUGAUGGUAAUACUAUACUUCUGGUGUAAGUACUAUUACCUCUAAUCUGUUAAUUUGCUACUCUAAAUACAAAUUUUCUUCUCCAGGAUCAGCUCUCUCACCAAACAAGUUCAUAGCAACUGAAAGAUGAAAUGCAUGCAAAAAUGAAAUGAAAGCUUGCAAGUGUAGUCACAAAAUAACCAGAUAAUUGUGACCGUUAUAAAGGGAUAUCACAUGGAAAUCUGAGUUAAGAAGAAUUAAUACAGCCCAAUAAUUUUACAGUGAAAGUAAUGAUCUGAUUUCUCCAGCGACGUCGAGAAAGAUAAAGAAGCAAAAACAAAAUGCUAAAGAUUUUAUGAUCUCUGCAAGGCAGGCUCUCCCCUCAGUUCACACAUUCACAACUCUCAGUGACAGUGAUGAGAGGUCUGCCAUGGAUCAGAGGUAUCUCCAACACAAACAGAAACGGAGGAUUUCUGCAGAACCAUUAUGAAGGUUGCUCUGGWCAGCCUCUCUGCGUGUCAAAACCUCAGCCUCAAUCCUCCAGGCGGGUGUCGUUCCCCUCCUUAGUCUGUCUGCAGUCCCUGACUUUUUCAUUUCAGGUUCCUGUCACCUGCUUUUCACUCUUCUGCCUCAGAGGACAUCACACAGCUGURCUUACUGAGGAUACCAGCUCUCUCAAGAAACAGUCUUUGCAGGCUUUCUAAAUCCAUGGGAGAUUGUAGUGGCUUGGAURAACMRUUACAGAUCUGUUUUYCCUGUACUCCCUUCCUUCACMCCCCGUUUUCAAAUAAGCACCACUUAGUUUGAGGGCUUUCGGCUCUCUUGUUCUAGUUUAAUGGCUGCGCGUUAGCACCCCGUAGCAUUAGCUGGAGGUAUCAGUCUGAAUCUCACUCUCUCAGAAAGGCAGGGCACAUUUUUUAUAACUCCUUCUAGACUGCAUGUCUGCUUUAUAUCAGAUAUGAUUUAAUAGACUUUUUAAAGCCAGCCUGUCAUCUGUCUUCCCUGAAUGUGAGAAGCAGCACAUUUACAAGUUACACACUUUAGAAAGCCUUUCAUUGUCCCUCAAAGCUCCUACCAACGCGUCGAUUCCAGCAGUCCUCUUUUUAUGGAAACCUUUAAGCCUCUCUCCUUUGUACGGACAGCUUGAAGUUYGUCUGCUGUUUUCUACCUUGCYUCUUAUCGGGUCUAAGAAUGGUGUAUUACACAGGCACCUUCCGCACGGGGGGAUUUCAGAAAUAUAUUGGCCCGCUCCAGAACCCAGCCUUUAUUAAUCAGGGCAGAGCGUGCCYGGUGCCGUUCCAGACGGGCUCCUUCCCUCUGCCGUCCGUCCCCAGCUGCAGUGCUCGCAGAGCUCUUCGGAUGCUGCAGUUUUUCCUUUUGUUAUUCCAUAUCCUACAGCAGCAGUGGAGUCCAUCAGCCUCAAUCGGUGCUGACACUACGAAACACAAAAGCACCACAUCAAAAUAGGAAUAUUUGAGGGCAAGGUUGCUUUAUGAAUACACAAAUAAUAAACUCCAGCUGUGUCCUGCCA
ensembl:lncRNA